ACGCUCGACACCUACUGGAGGCAGCAGUGGGGAAUAUUGCACAAUGGGGGAAACCCUGAUGCAGCGACGCCGCGUGGAGGAAGAAGGUCUUCGGAUUGUAAACUCCUGUUGUUGGGGAAAAAGAGGAUGGUACCCAACAAGGAAGUGACGGCUAACUACGUGCCAACAGCCGCGGUAAUCUGAGCGGGCGUGGCAAGGC
rnacentral:rRNA from 1 species